rnacentral:rRNA from 1 species
UACGGAGGGUGCAAGCGUUAAUCGGAAUUACUGGGCGUAAAGCGCACGCAGGCGGUUUGUUAAGUUGGAUGUGAAAUCCCCGGGCUUAACCUGGGAACUGCAUCCAAGACUGGCAAGCUAGAGUCUCGUAGAGGGAGGUAGAAUUCCAGGUGUAGCGGUGAAAUGCGUAGAGAUCUGGAGGAAUACCGGUGGCGAAGGCGGCCUCCUGGACGAAGACUGACGCUCAGGUGCGAAAGCGUGGGGAGCAAACAGG